rnacentral:rRNA from 1 species
AUACGGAGGGUGCAAGCGUUAAUCGGAAUUACUGGGCGUAAAGGGCGCGUAGGCGGUCUAUCAAGUCAGGUGUGAAAUCCCACGGCUCAACCGUGGAGGUGCAUCUGAAACUGAUAGACUUGAGUAUGGGAGAGGAAAGUGGAAUUCCCGGUGUAGAGGUGAAAUUCGUAGAUAUCCGGAGGAACACCAGUGGCGAAGGCGACUUUCUGGACCAAUACUGACGCUCAGGCGCGAAAGCGUGGGGAGCAAACAGGAUUAGAUACCCUAGUAGUCC